UACGGAGGGUGCAAGCGUUGCUCGGAAUCAUUGGGCGUAAAGAGCUCGUAGGCGGUGGCAUAAGCCAGAUGUGAAAUCCCAGGGCUCAACCCUGGAACUGCAUUUGGAACUGUGUCACUUGAGUCUUGGAGAGGAAAGUGGAAUUCCCGGUGUAGAGGUGAAAUUCGUAGAUAUCGGGAGGAACAUCAGUGGCGAAGGCGACUUUCUGGACAAUGACUGACGCUAAAGAGCGAAAGCGUGGGGAGCAAACAGG
rnacentral:rRNA from 1 species